CGGUAACGCGCUGAUUAAUACGCAAAUGGGGCAUCUGCCGGCAAAGGUGACGUGUACGCCGUCGGGUCGGAACACAUCAGCGCCUCUUAAUUAACACGCCUGUUAGGCAGCACGCGCUAAUUAAGGAGCACGUGUUAAUGAUCGCGUGUUAAUUGACGAGUCACCUGAGACGCUCGUCGGGUUUUCAUGCAGGAAAAAAAAGCUCUUGUACAGAAAAUAAUGCGAAGUUGAUAAACGACUGCGAGACGUUGGCAUCGUUUUCACAUGAGACGCGAGACGUGUCGCUGCGAGCCGCCCUCUCAAAAACACACGCCGGGAGCCAAUCACGUUGCAGCGGCUUCUUGCCAGGAACACCGGUGGGAUUCCGAAUAACGCUCACGAUCUUGCUCCUCCCGCUGGCUCCGCCCCCGACACACUCGUCCAAUCGCAAAUCACAGACACCUUCAAGGUCUCGCAGGCGGUCGGAAUUCAUCAAACUCUUGCAACAAUCCACAUAACGCAAGAAAGUGCAAGUCUGGUUCGGUGGCGCCACGAGAAAGGCCAAAAUCCCCCUCCGAGAUUCUCGGUGCCCACCAACCCGCCCUUGAGGACUGAAAUCCGGUCGGCGGCUCUUCCUUCGGCUCCUUCCCUCGGUAGGCGCGAGCCGCCAAUCGUCUUCCCUUCUGCCGUCGACCGCUUCAGCAGUUAGUAAAGCUAAUUCGGAUUCGGAUCCUGAAGGCGGCAACGUUCAGAUGCGUGUCGUGUACAGUACGUAAACAUUUGCAUGCCAGCAUCCCAUCAAACGUCUGCAAUUAUUCGUCAGCUUGAUGUUCCUCAUCACCGCGACCUCCGACCCCAGAAGGGCUGCAGUUCAAACGUCCCAUAAUAGUCAUUGUCGUAAUAGUCAUCGAGAUGGCGCGUGACGUCGUAACGGCUCGCUUGGCUUCAAAGUUCCUUCAAAUCUUUGAUUGUGUUAUUUAUCAUUUCAUCAAUUGUGCUUAUUCUAUAUUGUUAACUUUGAAGCAAAAAAUGCUAGUGUGUCUGUAAAAAU